rnacentral:lncRNA from 1 species
CUCCCUGCCGGCCGCGCCCGGGGCCGCCCCCGCCCCUGGCACCGCCGCGCGCCCCCCCGCGCCCCCGCCGCGCCCCCGCCGCGCCCCCGCCCGCCCCGACCGCCGCCUCCGCGAGCUGUCAACAAAGGACAACCGGGUUUGGCACCCGGAGGCCGCCGGGCUGCACGCCCUGCGCCCUGCGCAGCCCGGACCCGCCGGCCACCUUAAGUGGCCAAGGGGGCAACGAAAUCCUGCAAGGGGCGGGGGCGCUGGGGACUGGGGGGAGGCCUUGAGACCGCAGCCCGCCAGCACCCCCCAUCGACUCCGCACCCCCGCACCCCCCAGUGCGCGGAGCCCAGCACGCCCGCCCGCCCGCCCGCCCGCCCGCCCGCAGAGUAGGUGAGGGCAGUGGGGAGGUGCCCCCCCACCUCCCCUUAGCACCACCUGUCACCGCGUCCAUCCCGCACACGUCCCUCUUCAUCUUUAAUGCGAGUGACGGGGUGAGUGGGGAGGAGCGGGUGCGGCCCGUGGGGUUGAGAACAGAGGGCCUCGGAAUUGGAAUUGGUGGCAGCAAAUGCCCCCCCCCCCGCCCCCCGCCCGGCCUCGCUCGUGGAUUUCUAAAAGCCAACACGCUGUCAGCUGGUGUCAAACCCGUAGUCCCUGGGGGCCCACGGAACCUCAACCCGAUGCCUUGCAGUCCAUCCUUCAUUUCCACAAGGGCAGACAGUCACAGCCCAGCACAGUUCUGGACAAGCAGUGGGUAUUUAAUAAAUACUUAUCGAAUCAAUGGAUGGAAAGAUGGAUGGAUGGAUGAAUGGAUGGAUGGAUGGGUGGAUGGAUGGGUGGAUGGAUGGGCAUCUGUUUAUCUUAUGUCAAAUACUCAUCUUUGGAAAAUCCUUGCAAGCCCAACAGGGUUCUCCUCCACCGCAACCCACGCACCUCAGCUGGUCGCCGUGCUCCUGAAGCCUCACUCUUGCAAAGCCACCUGUGGCUGCUGCACUGUUAACCCGGGCCCCCUGCUUAUUCUUUGUUUGUCACUAGAUGGGUGA